rnacentral:rRNA from 1 species
ACGAACGCUGGCGGCGUGCUUAACACAUGCAAGUCGAACGGAAAGGCCCUGCUUUUGUGGGGUGCUCGAGUGGCGAACGGGUGAGUAACACGUGAGUAACCUGCCCUUGACUUUGGGAUAACUUCAGGAAACUGGGGCUAAUACCGGAUAGGAGCUCCUGCUGCAUGGUGGGGGUUGGAAAGUUUCGGCGGUUGGGGACGGACUCGCGGCUUAUCAGCUUGUUGGUGGGGUAGUGGCUUACCAAGGCUUUGACGGGUAGCCGGCCUGGGAGGGUGACCGGCCACAUUGGGACUGAGAUACGGCCCAGACUCCUACGGGAGGCAGCAGUGGGGAAUAUUGCACAAUGGGCGGAAGCCUGAUGCAGCAACGCCGCGUGCGGGAUGACGGCCUUCGGGUUGUAAACCGCUUUCGCCUGUGACGAAGCGUGAGUGACGGUAAUGGGUAAAGAAGCACCGGCUAACUACGUG